rnacentral:misc_RNA from 1 species
GCGGGAACUGCUGUUGAACCUUCUUUAACUGAUUUCUGAACUCCUCACCCAUAUUAGCAGCUCUCUCAACCAAUCCUUCAUUCUUAAUUACAUCUAGUGAAGCAAUUGCCACAGCGCUUGCCAGAGGAUUUCCUCCAAAUGUACUUCCAUGCUCUCCUGGCUUGAUACAUAACAUGACAUCCUUGUCAGCAAGUACCGCACUAACAGCUACGACCCCAGCACCUAAUGCCUUUCCAAGUAUAACAAUAUCAGGCCUG